AAUAGAAAGGAGUUGGAGGAAAUAAGUAAAAAGGUAAGAUUAUGUAUAAAUAUGUGUUAAUUAAGCUUUAAUUUCGAUUUUGAUAAAUGUUAGGGUUUUGAAAAUUUGAGUUUUGAGUUUAAUUGAUGAAUUAAGUUGAAUGUUUGGGUUGAUUGUUAUGGGUAAUUGAUUAAUGAGUUGAUUAUGGAAGAUUGUGAUGAUUUUGAGUUAUGAAUUGUGUAAAUGGUGAAUGUUGAGUUAGAAAUUUGGCAAGAACAGUAGGUUUCUGUUAAAAAUUCUGGGUUGGAGGUUGAAGAUGACGAAAAUUCAAUUUGGUCCCUCAAUUUUGGAAAAUUACAGUUUAGUCCCCAAACUUUGGAAAAUUUGCAGAUUGGUCCCUGGAGCAUAUUCCGAGAAUCUGAACAGAAUAACAUAUGAAUUAUGGACAGAAUUACUGUAUAGAUAAGAGAAUUUAACACUUUCAAUUUAGUCCUUCAAUUUGACAAAAUUACAAUUUAACCCUAAAAAUUUGGUAAAAUUCCAGAAUGGUCCUUGGAGUAUAAUGAGAUGAUCUGGACAGAAAUGAGGACUAAUUAUGGUCAGAAUUUCAGUAUAUUCAUGGAUUUAUGAUAAAUUUCAGUUUGGUCCUCCAAUUAGACAAAAAUUGCAAUUUGACCCUUAAAAAUAGGAUAAAUUACAGAUUAGUCCCUAGCUGUAAUAUUAGCUUUUCAGAUUAGUUUGAUGAAUAAUUAAGGGUUAUUUAGUGAAUUAUUGCCAAUUUUAUUAGUUGUUUUAUUAUGGAUUAGAUUUCGGGAAAACCGUUAAAUUUUGGGUUUUUGAGAAAAUUGACUAGUUAGUUCAAAAACAUAUAGGGUUACGGAAUACAUCAUUAGUUAAGUUUAUUAAAUAGGUUAAAUGUUCUUUUGAGUCGUUCUUGAAUAUGUCUCCUUUGUAUUCAGAUAAUCCUGAUAUUCUACCGACAGGACGUCAGUAGGAUUUCCUUCGAUAUCAGCUUUGAGUUUUGUUGCUUUUGAGUCAGGUGAGUGGAUAACUUUCCAUAUGCAUGAGAAAUAGUAUAAAUAUUUGAUUUGUUAAUAUGAAUUGAAUCAUGCUUUUUGAUAAUAUAUAUGUUGAUUAUUAUCCUUAUUUUGAUAAAGCAUGAUCAAUUAUUGAAUCUGAAUUCUUGAUAUGAACCAGUAUAUAUUUUGAAUUGAAUUCUGAAUUGAUAGCUCCUCAUUUGAUUGAUGUCAUGAGUUGAGCCUUGAGAUAUGAAUACGUCUGUUUGAUUAUGAUUAUGAACCUAUGGUAUGUCAGUCAGAAUACCCAUACUAACAGGGUAGUGUUAGUCUUUGUGCACAUCGUAUCUGAACCCUAGUUGGUCGGGGGAGUCACCAACCUGUGUGGACUGAUCAUCCCACAGUACGGAGCCUCAUGCUCAUUGCAUUUUGAUUUUCUGACGAGCUUUACCAUAUGAUAUUCUUGUUAUGGCCUAUUUGAGAAACCUUUCUAUAAGAACCUAGAGCCAUACUUGUAUAUAUAUUUCUCAUUGCUGUAUUACCUCGUGUGUGUAUAUUGAACGUUAUCUACUCACUGAGUUGUUGAACUCACCAUCUCAUUAUUUAUCCUUUUCAGGCUUAUAGCUUGAUAGCAGGUCACUUUUGUUGGACUUUCCGAACCUGCUCUUUUGGUUGUAAUUUGUACAUUUUCCUUUAUGUCUAGUUAGUGCUCCAAAACUCCGAAUUUAUAUUAACUCUUGUAUUAAGACAAUUCAAUUAUAUUAUGAAGUUGAUUUUGU
rnacentral:lncRNA from 1 species